UGACGGUACUUGACUAAGAAGCUCCGGCUAAAUACGUGCCAGCAGCCGCGGUAAUACGUAUGGAGCAAGCGUUAUCCGGAUUUACUGGGUGUAAAGGGAGCGUAGACGGGAAGUUAAGUUAGUUGUGAAAUCCCUCGGCUCAACUGAGGAACUGCAACUAAAACUGAUUUUCUUGAGUACUGGAGAGGAAAGUGGAAUUCCUAGUGUAGCGGUGAAAUGCGUAGAUAUUAGGAGGAACACCAGUGGCGAAGGCGACUUUCUGGACAGAAACUGACGUUGAGGCACGAAAGUGUGGGGAGCAAACAGGAUUAGAUACCCUG
rnacentral:rRNA from 1 species